AGGCAUUCGUGCAUGCGUCGUUUUGGCUCCGUUGUUGGGUGUCACGUGGCUCAUUGGCUUUCUUUUGCCACUACACAUCUCCUUCUCCUACAUUUUUGUAAUCCUUAACUCUACUCAGGGACUCUCCAUUUUCUUUUUCCACUGCUUGAGAAACAGUGAGAUAAAAGAGCGUUUCAAACGAAAAUUCCAAAGAGUCCUCCCAAGUGCAUUGAACCAUAGGCAAGCUGACAACACAAAGAACUCUCAGACCCGUCAGAGUCACGCUAACGCUGGGAUUUCUCAGGAGGAUCGAGAGUAGACUUUGAACUUAUAUCUUCCCCUUGAAUUGGGAAAAUACUGUAUGCAUUUAUAACCACUUUCACUUAUCUUGCUUAAGCUGUAGCUUAAGAGCUCUAUCGCAAAUUUAUUUAUGCUUAACCACGGAUUUAGGUCAUAUGAUCAAGUAGCAUAAUUUCUUAGAAUCAAAUUGUCAGAGAAGACCGGUUUAAAAUAUAUCCCGAUGAGUCAUUUAAUCUGUAAUUAGUCAGUUUCCGUUUGAAUCAAUCUUGGUGCAACUGAUAUUGAUAGUAAGAAAGAAAUUUGUGGUACACUUCAAA